CAGUAGGAUAGGCGAAGCGUGCUGUUGGAGUGCACGUCCAAGCAGUGAGAUUGAGUGUUAGGCAAAUCCGGCACUCUUAAGAUUGAGCUGUGAUGGGGAGAGGAACUUGUUCCUCGAGUCGUUGAUUUCACACUGCCGAGAAAAGCCUCUAGCUAGAAUAACGGUGCCCGUACCGCAAACCGACACAGGUAGUCAAGAUGAGAAUUCUAAGGUGAGCGAGCGAACUCUCGUUAAGGAACUCGGCAAAAUGACCCCGUAACUUCGGGAGAAGGGGUGCUCUUUGAGGUUCACGCUUCGAAGAGCCGCAGUGAAUAGGCCCAAGCGACUGUUUAUCAAAAACACAGGUCUCUGCUAAACCGUAAGGUGACGUAUAGGGGCUGACGCCUGCCCGGUGCUGGAAGGUUAAGAGGAGUGGUUAGCGCAAGCGAAGCUACGAAUCGAAGCCCCAGUAAACGGCGGCCGUAACUAUAACGGUCCUAAGGUAGCGAAAUUCCUUGUCGGGUAAGUUCCGACCCGCACGAAAGGCGUAACGAUUUGGGCACUGUCUCAACGAGAGACUCGGUGAAAUCAUAGUACCGGUGAAGAUGCCGGUUACCCGCGACAGGACGGAAAGACCCCGUGGAGCUUUACUGUAGCCUGAUAUUGAAAUUCGGUACAGUUUGUACAGGAUAGGUAGGAGCCUUAGAAGCGUGAGCGCUAGCUUACGUGGAGGCAUUGGUGGGAUACUACCCUAAUUGUAUUGGAUUUCUAACCCGCAGCACUUAUCGUGCUGGGAGACAGUGUCAGGCGGGCAGUUUGACUGGGGCGGUCGCCUCCUAAAGAGUAACGGAGGCGCUCAAAGGUUCCCUCAGAAUGGUUGGAAAUCAUUCAUAGAGUGUAA
rnacentral:rRNA from 1 species